CCUACGGGGGCAGCAGUGAGGAAUAUUGGUCAAUGGACGAGAGUCUGAACCAGCCAAGUAGCGUGAAGGAUGACUGCCCUAUGGGUUGUAAACUUCUUUUAUCAAGGAAUAAAACGAGGCACGUGUGCCUUUUUGCAUGUACUUUAUGAAUAAGGAUCGGCUAACUCCGUGCCAGCAGCCGCGGUAAUACGGAGGAUCCGAGCGUUAUCCGGAUUUAUUGGGUUUAAAGGGAGCGUAGAUGGGUUGUUAAGUCAGUUGUGAAAGUUUGCGGCUCAACCGUAAAAUUGCAAUUGAUACUGGCAGUCGUGAGUACAGUUGAGGUAGGCGGAAUUCGUGGUGUAGCGGUGAAAUGCUUAGAUAUCACGAAGAACCCCGAUUGCGAAGGCAGCUUACUAAACUGUGACUGACAUUGAUGCUCGAAAGUGUGGGUAUCAAACAGGAUUAGAUACCCUUGUAGUC
rnacentral:rRNA from 1 species